rnacentral:lncRNA from 1 species
UAAAGCUGCGUCAUCUAGCACGACUUAUUUCUCUCCAUUUUGUAUUUGGUAAAUAUCUUGAAUGAAAAUUGGUGCUUACUGACUAGUCCUGUACUUGCUAUAUUAUUGUUGUGUUCUUUGCAGAUUUUGGAUGUCGUCAAAUCAGUUAGAUGUUCAUCUCAAAGUUUUUAAAUUUUAUCCUUGCAGUGAUACUGAAAGCUGAUUCCUUCCAUUUAUAUUUACUCUUAAGAUUUGCUAAAAUAAGAAUCUCAUUUUUUGUAUCAAUAUUCAUUUAAGUAUACAAGAAAAAAUGGAGGCCUUGGUGUACUUAUUGUUGUGACGUAGAAGGAGAAGCAAAAUUGUUAAUAUGUUAAACCCAUAUUAAGUACACCAUUAUGUGGAACUCCAAGCUUUCUUAAUAAUCUAUCAAUUCUUAUCCAAAACUUGUAGGACUUUAGCCUUGAAUGU